GAUGAACGCUAGCUACAGGCUUAACACAUGCAAGUCGAGGGGUAACGAGAGGAAAGCUUGCUUUCCUUGUCGACGACCGGCGCACGGGUGAGCAACGCGUAUCCAACCUGCCCCCAACUAGGGAAUAACCUUGCGAAAGUAAGACUAAUACCCUAUAAUUUCCUCAGAUGACAUCUGACGAGGAAUAAAGAUUUAUCGGUUGUGGAUGGGGAUGCGUCUGAUUAGCUUGUUGGCGGGGUAACGGCCCACCAAGGCAACGAUCAGUAGGGGUUCUGAGAGGAAGGUCCCCCACAUUGGAACUGAGACACGGUCCAAACUCCUACGGGAGGCAGCAGUGAGGAAUAUUGGUCAAUGGGCGGAAGCCUGAACCAGCCAAGUAGCGUGCAGGAUGACGGCCCUAUGGGUUGUAAACUGCUUUUAUACAGGAAUAAAGUUAGCCACGUGUGGUUAUUUGUAGGUACUGUAUGAACAAGGACCGGCUAAUUCCGUGCCAGCCGCCGCUGUAA
rnacentral:rRNA from 1 species